GUUAUAAAACAGUGCCAAUGUUUUCAUGAAAGGGAGUAAGACUUGUGGUAUAAGAUAUCUUAAAUACAAGUUAGCAUUACAGCUUGUACUUACAGAUUGAUGUUGGAAACGGCUAUUAAAGUUGACUUUUAAAAAUAACAAUUACUGUGGUUGAAGGAUUUAAUUAUGUGAUGAAUUCUCCAUACUCCUUAGAGAUGUUGUGAAGGUUCUUAACAUGUUGACAGCUGUGGACUCUAACUUCAUAAGACAUCAGAUUUAACAUCCCCAUUCUGACACUGGACAUGGCUGCCAAUUUGUACAUGCUGCACUACCAAACAGACGCCUUACUUUUGCAAGGAUUUUACUAC